UUCUCGGAUGUUUUCAAGAGGGUCCAGCUGCAGAAGACGGUAGAGUGGAGCUCCACAGGAAAUAUGUCAUCUCCACAGGAAACACGUGAUCUUUAAGAACGUAAAGUGGGGCUAAUCUUUACGACGUAAAGUGGGGGUCCACAGGAAACACGCGAUCUACACUGUGUUUGUACCAAGAGAGAGUCUGGACUAAGUCUUCGAACCUGAAUUGCCAUUACAUUAAAAGGAACAUUGUUUUAUAAACCAAAUUGUAAACAUGGAUCCCCGUUUAAAAGCGGCUUUGCUUUUUCAAGACAAAAUUAUACGGCGGUGCACACUACCAUGCCGGGACAAGGUACAUUGUCACCCGGACUUGGCUUCCUCCCUACAACUGUGAGCCACUUCAAUCCCUUUCUGUAAGUACAAAUUUUCCUGGGUGAUUAUUAUUUAGAACUAGUGUAAGAGUACUUCAUGUAAAAUAUUGAUCUCCAUUUCAGAAUGAUGCAGAGAGGAAGGACAUUAUUGUGUUCCCACUAUGGACUCCUGGGCAUUUUUAGCUUUGUGUAUGUAGGAGCACAUCAAUACCAUACAAUACACUUAACCGAAUAAAAGCCCAAAAGUCUGAGGAUGUUAGGAUUUUAAGAUUUUAUUGUAAUUGUGUCAGUUACAUCUUGGUACAGCUUUAAUUUACACAUUUUAAGCCAUGGGCAACUACUGUGAAUCAUUGACUGACUGUUAUUGCAAUGGCAUUGCUUAACACCUUGAGUAACUGUCUCUUAGGUGAUGAAGCCAGGUAUAAAAGAAAUGUUCUUUCUCGACUCAUGAUGUGCUAAGAAAAGGACAUGAUUUGGUGGCCACCAAUAUGUGUCACUCUUGAGGUCAAUUUUCUGUUUAUGUUAGUGUGCAGGAACCUGUUCAGUGUUCCAGGUUAAGUACAUUUUAGAUCACGUUCUGAUCUAUUUUGUGUUCAGCAUGUCUUCAGUUUAUUCAGUGAAUUCACAUGCUUACUUGACAGACCUGUACUGUGGAGUACAGCCUUUUGAUUAAAAGGUGAUACAUCAGAUGUUAAAUCAGAUAUUUAAAUAAUAGUAUUAAAAUACCUAGAAGAUGAGUUCUGACAGUAGAAUUGGUUUAUCCGAUAUAGUUACCAAAUUAUGUCAUUAAAUUGUCGUUAUAAUUGGGCAGUGCAGUUCAGUCUGAAUAAAUGUGUCAGCUAAAUGCUGUAAAUGUUAAAAUAUGAUGAAACAGAAAUUACAGAACUUCUGUAGAGGUUGAUCAAGACUAAGCAUAUGAAUGUACUUUCGGGUCAGUCCAUGCCAAAUCAACCAGGGGCUCCAUGGGCAUCAUUCCUGAUUUUGAUGAAAACUUGGUAUUUAAAAUUUGAUCCUUAUAGAGAACACUGAAAAUUCCCCAAGUUUUAUUGAAAAAUUCUGAUGCAGUCCAAAGUUAUGGCCCUUUCAAAUUUGGGUGCCACGCCCCUUUUUUGCACUC